rnacentral:rRNA from 1 species
AGCGAACGCUGGCGGCAGGCCUAAUACAUGCAAGUCGAACGGCUCUUCGGAGCAGUGGCGGACGGGUGAGUAACGCGUGGGAAUGUGCCCUUUGGUACGGAACAACACAGGGAAACUUGUGCUAAUACCGUAUGUGCCCUUCGGGGGAAAGAUUUAUCGCCAUUGGAGCAGCCCGCGUUGGAUUAGGUAGUUGGUGAGGUAAAGGCUCACCAAGCCUACGAUCCAUAGCUGGUCUGAGAGGAUGACCAGCCACACUGGGACUGAGACACGGCCCAGACUCCUACGGGAGGCAGCAGUAGGGAAUCUUGCGCAAUGGGCGAAAGCCUGACGCAGCCAUGCCGCGUGUAUGAUGAAGGUCUUAGGAUUGUAAAAUACUUUCACCGGGGAAGAUAAUGACGGUACCCGGAGAAGAAGCCCCGGCUAACUUCGUGCCAGCAGCCGCGGUAAU